rnacentral:rRNA from 1 species
AACACGGAAGUUAAGCUUUUCAGCGCCGAUGGUAGUAGGGGGCUUCCCCCUGUGAGAGUAGGUCGUCGCCGGGC